GACGAACGCUGGCGGCGUGCUUAACACAUGCAAGUCGAACGGAGUGGCGAACGGGUGAGUAACAUGUGGGUGACCUGCCCUGCACUUCGGGAUAAGCCUGGGAAACUGGUUCUAAUACCGGAUAGUAUGGGAUGGGCGCGCGGCGUUACAGCUUGGUGGGGGGGUAAUGGCCUACCAAGGCGGCGGCGGGUUGCCUGCCUGGGAGGGUGGACGGCCACAUAGGGACUGAGUGACGGACAAGACUGGUACGGGAGGCAGCAGGCGGGAGUGUUGCUCAAUCGGCGGGAGACUGAUGGAGGGACGCCGGGUGGGGGAUGACGGCCUUCGGGUGGUGAACUCCUUUCACCAGCGACGCGGUAGAUGAAGAAGAAGCACCGGCUAACUACGUGCCAGCAGCCGCGGUAAUAC
rnacentral:rRNA from 1 species